rnacentral:misc_RNA from 1 species
GAAAUGCGAUAAGUAAUGUGAAUUGCAGAAUUCAGUGAAUCAUCGAAUCUUUGAACGCACCUUGCACCCUUUGGUAUUCCAAAGGGUAUGCCUGUUUGAGUGUCUUGAAAAGCCCUCAAGUUUCUUUUUAUAUUAUUAGAAAGGGACUUGGUAAUUGAGCGUGUUUGCCAUUUUGGCUCGCUUUAAAUGCAUUAGCUGGGGGUGAAGUUAUUUUGUUUUGCCGUCUUUUACACAAGCGUAAUAGUGUAUUUCGUUUGUUACGGCCUAACAUUUGAUUUGCGCCUGCUUCUAACACACACACACACACACUUUGAUUUAGACCUCAAAUCAGGUAGGACUACCCGCUGAACUUAA